rnacentral:lncRNA from 1 species
UUCCUUAAACAUCAACAAACAGCACUGAUACGUCGAAGCUAUGCAAUCUAUGUACAACAAAAGACUAUGUACAACAAAAGACAUCAAAUCAAUGUUUUAAUACAGAAUUUCCUAGUAACUAUCAAUGGUUAUGUGUGGUUUUGACAUUUCUUAUUUAAUCCUUUAUUAAGAAGUUUUGUCAAAUACAAUGGGUUCCCCGACUCUGUAAAGAACACAAAAAUACAAGAUAAUAACAAAAAAUAAAAAACAAACACACAACACCUUAUAAAAAAUGAACAUCACUAUAAACAAUUUGAACGAAAUUGCAACACAAACCAAACAAAAAACUCCUGUAGACUUUCGAUGUUCCGUGUAAAUAUUAAGUCCAGGUUUUAUGAGUGCAUCAACACUAUAACAAAAAGGAGCUAAAGAUACCAUAGGGACAGUUAAUCUCAUAAAUCGAAAAUAAACUGACAACGCCAUGGCUAAAAAUAAACAAACAACAAUACACAAAAGAUAACAUAGAAAAAUAAAG